rnacentral:rRNA from 1 species
GACGAUGAUGCCCUUCGGGGUGGAUUAGUGGCGAACGGGUGAGUAACACGUGAGCAACCUGCCCUUGACUCUGGGAUAAGCCUGGGAAGCUGGGUCUAAUACCGGAUAUUGCCUCCUGCCGCAUGGUGGGGGGUGGAAAGCCUUGUGCGGUCUUGGAUGGGCUCGCGGCCUAUCAGCUUGUUGGUGGGGUGAUGGCCUACCAAGGCGACGACGGGUAGCCGGCCUGAGAGGGUGACCGGCCACACUGGGACUGAGACACGGCCCAGACUCCUACGGGAGGCAGCAGUGGGGAAUAUUGCACAAUGGGCGCAAGCCUGAUGCAGCGACGCCGCGUGGGGGAUGACGGCCUUCGGGUUGUAAACCCCUUUCGGCGGGGAACAAGCCCUUCGGGGUGAGGGUACCCGCGGAAGAAGCGCCGGCUAACUACGUGCCAGCAGCCGCGGUAAUACGUAGGGCGCGAGCGUUAUCCGGAAUUAUUGGGCGUAAAGAGCUCGUAGGCGGUUUGUCGCGUCUGCUGUGAAAGCCCGGGGCUCAACCCCGGGUCUGCAGUGGGUACGGGCAGGCUGGAGUGCAGUAGGGGAGACUGGAAUUCCUGGUGUAGCGGUGAAAUGCGCAGAUAUCAGGAGGAACACCGAUGGCGAAGGCAGGUCUCUGGGCUGUAACUGACGCUGAGGAGCGAAAGCGUGGGGAGCGAACAGGAUUAGAUACCCUGGUAGUCCACGCCGUAAACGUUGGGCACUAGGUGUGGGG